GGGGCCCGCACAAGCGGUGGAGCAUGUGGUUUAAUUCGAUGCAACGCGAAGAACCUUACCUGGUCUUGACAUCCACGGAAGUUUUCAGAGAUGAGAAUGUGCCUUCGGGAACCGUGAGACAGGUGCUGCAUGGCUGUCGUCAGCUCGUGUUGUGAAAUGUUGGGUUAAGUCCCGCAACGAGCGCAACCCUUAUCCUUUGUUGCCAGCGGUCCGGCCGGGAACUCAAAGGAGACUGCCAGUGAUAAACUGGAGGAAGGUGGGGAUGACGUCAAGUCAUCAUGGCCCUUACGACCAGGGCUACACACGUGCUACAAUGGCGCAUACAAAGAGAAGCGACCUCGCGAGAGCAAGCGGACCUCAUAAAGUGCGUCGUAGUCCGGAUUGGAGUCUGCAACUCGACUCCAUGAAGUCGGAAUCGCUAGUAAUCGUGGAUCAGAAUGCCACGGUGAAUACGUUCCCGGGCCAUGUACACACCGCCCGUCACACCAUGGGAGUGGGUUGCAAAAGAAGUAGGUAGCUUAACCUUCGGGAGGGCGCUUACCACUUUGUGAUUCAUGACUGGGGUGAAGUCGUAACAAGGUAGCCGUAAAUCUCUGGAAGAUCCGCGCGU
rnacentral:rRNA from 1 species